rnacentral:rRNA from 1 species
AACAAACGCUGGCGGCGUGCCUAACACAUGCAAGUCGUACGAGAAAGGGUCCUUCGGGGCCUGAGUAAAGUGGCGCACGGGUGAGUAACGCGUGGAUAAUCUGCCCUUCAGUUGGGAAUAACUCAUCGAAAGGAGGGCUAAUACCGAAUAAUGCUGUGAGACCUCGGUUGAUCAGCCAAAGAGAGCCUCUGCUUGCAAGCCCUCGCUGAAGGAUGAGUCCGCGUACCAUUAGCUAGUUGGUAGGGUAAUGGCCUACCAAGGCGACGAUGGUUAGCUGGUCUGAGAGGAUGAUCAGCCACACUGGAACUGGGACACGGUCCAGACUCCUACGGGAGGCAGCAGUGAGGAAUCUUGCGCAAUGGGGGCAACCCUGACGCAGCAACGCCGCGUGAGUGAGGAAGGUCUUCGGAUCGUAAAGCUCUGUCGGAUGGAAAGAACCGCAUAGGGGUAAACAGCCCCUGUGUCUGACGGUACCAUCAAAGGAAGCACCGGCUAACUCCGUGCCAGCAGCCGCCGUAAAAC